rnacentral:rRNA from 1 species
AUUGAACGCUGGCGGCAUGCCUAACACAUGCAAGUCGAGCGAGCGGCGGACGGUUGAGUAAUGUUUGGGGACUGCCCGUUAGAGGGGGAUAACUACUGGAAACGGUUGCUAAUACCGCAUACUAUCGGAUAACCCAUAUGGGAUUAGCUAGUGGGUAAGGUAAUGGCUUACCUAGGCGACGAUCCCUAGCUGGUGUGAGAGGAUGAUCAGCCACACUGGGACUGAGACACGGCCCAGACUCCUACGGAGGCAGCAGUGGGGAAUAUUGGACAAUGGGCGAAAGCCUGAUGGAGCAACGCCGCGUGAAUGAAGAAGGCCUUAGGGUUGUAAAGCACUUUCAGUCGGGAGGCGUUACCGAAAGAAGAAGCACCGGCUAACUCCGUGCCAGCAGCCGCGGUAAUAC